rnacentral:rRNA from 1 species
GAUGAACGCUGGCGGCGUGCCUAAUACAUGCAAGUCGAGCGAACAGACGAGGAGCUUGCUCCUCUGACGUUAGCGGCGGACGGGUGAGUAACACGUGGAUAACCUACCUAUAAGACUGGGAUAACUUCGGGAAACCGGAGCUAAUACCGGAUAAUAUGUUGAACCGCAUGGUUCAAUAGUGAAAGACGGUUUUGCUGUCACUUAUAGAUGGAUCCGCGCCGCAUUAGCUAGUUGGUAAGGUAACGGCUUACCAAGGCAACGAUGCGUAGCCGACCUGAGAGGGUGAUCGGCCACACUGGAACUGAGACACGGUCCAGACUCCUACGGGAGGCAGCAGUAGGGAAUCUUCCGCAAUGGGCGAAAGCCUGACGGAGCAACGCCGCGUGAGUGAAGAAGGUCUUCGGAUCGUAAAACUCUGUUAUUAGGGAAGAACAAAUGUGUAAGUAACUAUGCACGUCUUGACGGUACCUAAUCAGAAAGCCACGGCUAACUACGUG